GGGCCCGCACAAGCGGUGGAGCAUGUGGUUUAAUUCGAUGAUACGCGAGGAACCUUACCAGGACUUAAAUGUAAGUUGCAUGAUUCAGAAAUGAAUCUUUCUUCGGACUACUUACAAGGUGCUGCAUGGUUGUCGUCAGCUCGUGCCGUGAGGUGUCAGGUUAAGUCCUAUAACGAGCGCAACCCCUAUCGUUAGUUGCCAUCAAGUAAAGUUGGGAACUCUAGCGAAACUGCCGGUGCAAACCGAGAGGAAGGUGGGGAUGACGUCAAAUCAUCACGGCCCUUACGUUCUGGGCUACACACGUGCUACAAUGGUCGGUACAGAAAGCAGCCACUAUGCGAAUAGGAGCUAAUCUAUUAAAACCGGUCUCAGUUCGGAUUGGAGUCUGCAACUCGACUCCAUGAAGCUGGAGUCGCUAGUAA
rnacentral:rRNA from 1 species